AGCGAACGCUGGCGGCAGGCUUAACACAUGCAAGUCGAACGCCCCGCAAGGGGAGUGGCAGACGGGUGAGUAACACGUGGGAACGUACCCUUUGGUUCGGAAUAACUUGGGGAAACUCAAGCUAAUACCGGAUAAGCCCUUAUGGGGAAAGGUUUACUGCCGAAGGAUCGGCCCGCAUCUGAUCAGCUAGUUGGUGAGGUAAUGGCUCACCAAGGCGACGAUCAGUAGCUGGUCUGAGAGGAUGAUCAGCCACACUGGGACUGAGACACGGCCCAGACUCCUACGGGAGGCAGCAGUGGGGAAUAUUGGACAAUGGGGGCAACCCUGAUCCAGCCAUGCCGCGUGAGUGAUGAAGGCCUUAGGGUUGUAAAGCUCUUUUACCCGGGACGAUAAUGACUGUACCGGGAGAAUAAGCCCCGGCUAACUUCGUGCCAGCCGCCGCUGUAA
rnacentral:rRNA from 1 species